GUUAUUUUCUAUCCUAUGGUUCUCUUUUCUGACUACAAAUGGGAAAUAAGCUUUUUAAUUGUUGGUUCUGGGUAUUACUUCUUUGGCUGCUUUAAAGAUCUCUUUUAUGUUCUGUAUCUAUUUGUAAAUGCUGCUUUCUGGGUUAUUUCUUCAAGCCUAGCUUUCAGUUUACAAAUUCUCUCUUCUACUGGGUCAGUUUAUCCAUUCUAAUUGCAAUUAUUAUUUCAUUGUUUACUUCUUCCUGAAAUCUGCCUUAUCAUUCUUUUCAUUUGUUUUUUAUCAUACAUUCCUCUUAUUGCUUCUGACACAAUUUUGCAGUCUUUGCAAAUUUGACUAUAUUAUUUGUCAUUUCUUCUCUCACAUGUGACACACUUAUAACUUUGGAUAUUAACUUGUUUCUUAGAAUACCUGUGGGAAUGCCUUGAUGCUUGUGUCUAAAGAAUACUCCUCCAGGAAGGUUUUGGGUUGGUUUUUGUUAGAAACAUGGGGACACUAUCAACUCAGGAUCAUUGUAAAAUAAAUUCUCAGUUUGAGACUUUUAAUGACACACAAGUAAGACUUCUGCACAAAAUCUGCAUGGUAACUAGCUGUGGUAAGGAAUUUCUCAUGGGACACUUUUCUCCCACUCAACAUUGAGGCCUGCACUUUUUCCUUAUAUCCAUCUCUGAAGUGUUUUAUUUUCUAGUUUACCAAAAAUGUUAAAUCCUACUCUGCUCAGGCUACUCAUUUUUGUCCAGCUGACUUGCAGACCUAAGUGUACUGUAAACAGCAUUAUUAUAACUUUUUUCUUUCAGUAACUAUACUUGUUAAGAGUUUGAUCAAGUCCUGACCCUAUCUGCAGAUCUCACCCAGGAGAGACUCGUGGAUGGAUGCUCCUCUCCAAGUGCAGCCAUCAGCUUCAGUACUUGUUACUUUCUCGUGUUUUCUUUUUUUGCUUCUGAGAAUUCCUUUAAAAAAAUUUUUUUUUAGUUGUAGAUGGAUACCUUUCUUUAUAUGUGAUGCUUAAGAUCAAACCCAGGGCCUCACAUGUGCUAGGGAAGUGCUCUACCACUAAACUACAACUCCAGUCCUGAGAAUUCCUUUUUUGACAAAUCCCCUAUAUAAUUAAAGACCAUCCCCCCCCCAUGUUUAUCCAUCAUUGUUUUCUGAGAUAAUAAGUUUCUCAAGUUAUUUAGUCUAGCAUACUGCCAGACAUUUCUGUUCUACUUUCCCACAUAUAUGUGCUUUUAUGCAUAAAAAUGGAUAAAGGAGAUUUGUCAACCUUACUGAAAAGAUGUAAAAAGUUCUGGCAAGAAAAAUCACAAGUCAGCUAGUUUCAGGGUGAUGGUAAACAACAUGAAAUGGGUAAUGAAAAGAGAAAAUGUAUACAUGCAUAUGCAAUGUAUUUAUUUGUAUGCAUGUUCAUGUAUUUUUUUACUAUUAUUUUUAGUACUAGGGAUGAGUCCAGAGGUACUUUACCACUGAGUCAAUCCCUAGCCCUUUUCAUUUUGUAUUUUUGAGACAGGGUCUCCCUAAGUUGCUCAGGACCUUGCUAAGUUGUCGAGGCUGGCUUUGAACUUGCAAUCCUCCUACCUCAGCCUACCAAGCCACUGGCAUUACAGGCAUGCACCACCACACCCAGCUGUUCAUAUAUAUAUUUAUAUAAACUAUGCACACUUGAAUAACUAGAGACUUAUUACUAAUGUAUGUCUUUCCUUAUUAUAUAUGUAUAUAUCUAUAUUAAAGUUGAUAUAUGUACACACACACAACUUUCCCCCUCUUCUAUCUUCCAGUUAUUCCAUCUAACAUUAUAAGACUUUUAUAACAAGGAACAUUGUGAUCAAGCAAGGGUAAUAUCAUAGAGAUGAAUAGGAAACUUGUAAAAUUUAUGCCCUCUUGGGAAGAAGAUAGGUGUUGUCUACAACAGGGAAGUAGGUGUGUGUGAAGAAGAAUCAUGACAGUCUUUGUUCUUCUUUGGAAACUUAACAUGGAUACAAGUGUAAGUGUAGAUACUGAGUAUUGUGAAGGAUGAACCAUGCUCAACAAUAUCUGCUGAAGAUUCUGUACUGUUCUCAUUCUUGUACUCCAUACUUGUCCACAUAAAUCCAAUUGGAUUUCACCAAUAAGAGGCAUUUGUACACAAUUCAGAAAGUAAAGAAAGGUAAAGUAUUCUCCAGUGGUAAUUGCAAUCAGGCUAAUGGGAUUUGUCAGUCGUUUCCAGGCACUUUUCUGAAAACCACUCACACUUGGUGCUGCAGGAGCCAAUAUCACCCAUGGCAGGCAGCUUCCUAUAAUCCCUACAGUGGCAGAUUUCAUACUGGUCUUCCUGAUCUGCAUUUCCUCAAGCUUUCUAAUGGUCAUAGAAGACCAAAGUAAUGGUUAAUUUGAAUUGUCAAGUUGAUUGGAUUAAGAGAUGCCAAUGAUUAAGAGGCUUCUGGGUAUGUCAAGGAAUUACUGUCAUGUUGGAUAGCCAACUGAAAUGAAGACCCUCCCUAAGCAGCAUCACCCAACAAAGAUAAUAGCAUGGAUGAAAUAAAUUUGGAAGAACAAGGAAGCAGCAGCAGAUGGAAGUUCUAUUCUUCUUGAACAGGUUCUUGAUUGCUGCUGCGAUCAUCUGAGGAUAUCAGACUCUCACUUCUUCACUCUUCGAAAGCAGACCCUGCCAGUGAUUCUCCAGGGUGUUUCCAGAAGCCUUUGGUCUCAGACUAGGGUAGAACCAUUGAUCCUUCUCAUUCUAAGGCUUCAGCCUCUUGGACUGUGCAAUUACUGGUUCUUCCAGCUCUCCAGUCUGCAGCCCACCAUUGUGGACUAUCCAGCCAACCUAAUAAAUCCCCUUUUUAUAAUUAUACUUCCUGUUGAUUCUGUUCCUCUACAGAACUCUAAUACAUCUCCCUAAAAAAUUCUUUCCUACUGAAAAUUCCCUCAGAGAAUUCUGAUUUCUUGAUCAAAC
rnacentral:lncRNA from 1 species